GAUGAACGCUGGCGGCGUGCCUAACACAUGCAAGUCGAGCGAACAGACGAGGAACUUGCCCCUUUGACGUUAGCGGCGGAGGGGGGAGUAACAUGUGUAUAACCCACCUAUAAGACUGGGAUAACUUCGGGAAACCGGUACCAAUUCCGGAUAAUAUAUUGAACCGCAUGGUUCAAUAGUGAAAGACGGUUUUGCUGUCACUUAUCGCUGGAUCCGCGCGGCAUUAGCUAGUUGGUAAGGUAACGGCUUACCAAGGCAACGAUGCGUAGCCGACCUGAGAGGGUGAUGCGACACAGUGAAAGUGACACGCGGCCCAGACCUAUGCGGGGGACAGGAGUAGAAAAUCGUCCACAAGGGGCGAAAGCUUGACAGAGAAACGCCGCGUGAGUGAUGAAGGUCUUGGGAGCGUAAAACUCCGUUAGGAGGGAAAAACAGUUGUGUAAGUAACUAUGCUCAUUGACACUAUACGUAAAAAAAGAGCCGGGUAAAACCGUG
rnacentral:rRNA from 1 species